CGUAGGGGGCAAGCGUUGUCCGGAUUUAUUGGGCGUAAAGAGCUCGUAGGUGGUUCGGUAAGUCGGAUGUGAAAUCUCCAGGCUCAACCUGGAGGGGUCAUUCGAUACUGCCGUGACUAGAGGUCGGUAGGGGAGUGUGGAAUUCCUGGUGGAGCGGUGAAAUGCGCAGAUAUCAGGAGGAACACCCGUAGCGAAGGCGGCACUCUGGGCCGAUACUGGCACUGAGGAGCGAAAGCGUGGGGAGCGAACAGGAUUAGAUACCCUGGUAGUCCACGCCGUAAACGUUGGGCACUAGGUGUGGGACUCUAUCGACGGGUUCCGUGCCGUAGCUAACGCAUUAAGUGCCCCGCCUGGGGAGUACGGCCGCAAGGCUA
rnacentral:rRNA from 1 species